CCACAACGAGAAUUGACCAGUUGAGCAUUGCCCUAGUAGACGACUGCGGUAGGAGAGGGAAGCCGUGGCAGAAGGCGCGGCAGUAGAGGAAUGCUGUAUGUGAGGAAAAGUGCGGCAAUAACAGGUCUGUGAUGCCCUCAGAUGUUCUAGGCUGCACACGUGCUACAUUGAUCAGCACAAUGCGAUACAUUUCGAAAGGAAACAUCGGUUUUAAGGUAACGUCGAUUGCCUACCGAUAGCACCUGGUCCCCAGUGGACUGGGCAAUCUCUUCUAAAUGCUGGUAAGGUACCCACACUCGAGCUAUUUAAUCACACGCGGGAGGCACACACGGUUCAAAUCUCAUUUGCGACUGUUGCCGCCAUGACGUAUGCAACUUGUCAAUUCUUCGUGGGG
rnacentral:rRNA from 1 species